GCACUUGGCACACUGCUGGUGUAAAGCUGGGCACAGCAACAUCUGAAAUAAGAUGCUAAAAAAUCUUCUCUCACUGUGAAGGAACUGAUGGAAUUAAUCUCACCCACAAAACUGUCUGAGUUUGUCUGAGACUGCAUUUCAGGAUACAGAUGACGUGUGGAGAAGAACCAUAUGAACUCACUGAAUGUUUAUGAGCAGGAUGCAGUGGACUGAUUUUUAAAAAACAACUUUUCAUUGAAAACAUAAAGCAAGAAAAACUGGAGAUCAAA